GUCUCUCCAGGCCUUUCUGAAAUCAUCCUGUUCGACCAAUGGUUCUUAAAGAAGAGACCCUCCCCCCCCAAGACACUUUUAGAUCUGUCCAUUAAUAUGCUAUAAUAUCAAUAGAUAUAAACCACCUUAAAAUAUCCUUGCAUGGGGGUGUGUGUGGAGAGAUUCGAUUUUUAAGACAAAAGGGUCCUGAAACCAAAAUUUUUGAGAGUUGAUAUACUAGAUAAUCUCUUAGCUCAGGUGCUGCCUUCUCUAGAAAGCUUUUCCUAAUUCUCAGUACCCUUUCCUUCUACAAGUGGUUCUUUUCUUCCUCAAAUCAUUCUCUGUAUUAUAUCUUAUAUUUUUGUUUUUCCCUCCCCUCCAACAUUAUCAGAAUAUAAUGGGGGACAGAGAAUGUAUAGUUUUUGCUUGUGUGUCCCCAGAGCCUAAUGCAGUUUUUUUAAAAAUUCUUAAUAAAUAUUUGUUGACAAAUCAUUUCUAAUGGAGCAGUAAUGAACUGAGCUAGCUAUGCCCAGAAAAAUAACUCUGGGAGAUGACUAAAAACCAUUACAUUAAAUCCCCAAUCCCUAUAUUUAUGCACACAUGCAUUUUUGAUUUCCUUCACAAGCUAAUUGUACAAUAAUUCAGAGUCUGAUUUUUUUUGUACAGCAAAAUAAUGUUUUGGUCAUGUAUACUUAUUGUGUAUCUAAGUUAUAUUUUAAUAUAUUUAACAUCUACUGGUCAUCCUGCCAUCUAGGGGAGGGGGUGGGGGGGUAAGAGGUGAAAAAUUGGAACAAGAGGUUUGGCAAUUGUUAAUGCUGUAAAGUUACCCAUGUAUAAAUCCUGUAAAUAAAAGGCUAUUAAAUAAAAAAAAAAUAAAUAUUUGUUGAGUUUAAUUAACUUGAAUUCCAGCUCUGAUAUUUUAUGUGCUAAAGCCCUUUUGGCUCUAACUUUUUUUUAACUCUAAGCUUUUUUUUUUACUCAUCUAUAAAAUGGGGGAAAUAAUAUUUAAAAUUUUUUCUUCAUAAGAUUGUCAAGCUCAAAUGAGAUUGUGGAUGCAAGAGCACUUUGUAUCCAUAAAUCUAUUAAAAUGUACAUCCUUAUUAGUCUUAUUGUUAGCAUUAUUAUUUACUGACUUUCUAUUGUAUAUUGGGCUCUUUUGACAGUAAAUAUACAAAUUAGCAUCAGCUUCUUUGGGAAAUUUGUCAGAUUUACCAAGAUGACAAGGUCAGUAUCCAAAAAAAAUUUAACUGGUCUGAAUAAAAGACAGAAUCAAAUAUGACAAAAUAUAGGUGGGAUAAAUGUAAAGUACUAUCCUUGGGUUCAAAAAAACCAAUGUCACAACUCUAAGAUGAGGUAGAUAUGACUAGAUAAAAGUCUAUGUGAAAAAGAGCUGGAGAUCUUAAUGGAUUGAAAGUUUGUUGUGAUUCAUGUUGGCAGUAAAACACCCAAUGUAAUCCUAAACUGCAGUGAGGGAGUCAUGGUGAUCAGUACAAAGGCAAGGGUCACACAGGAUGGAUAAGCAUCAGCAGGGGGAAUUUCUCUAUAGAUGAGAUAACAGAUCCAUUUGAGAUUUGAAAAUGCCUACAACAUGGAAGGUAAGAGUGCUACCCACCCCAGUCUGCCCUAGAAGGCCAUAUCUGGAGUACAGUGUUCAGUUCUCAGUAUUACAUUUCAGGCAAGAUGUUGACAAAACUGAUGUGUGUCACAGUGGAGAGAUUUGGAAGGAUGGCAGGAAGGAAGAGAGAAAGGAAAGGAAGAAGGCAGGAAGGAAGGAAAGGAGAAAAUCAGGGAGAAAGAAUGUCAAGGAGGAAGGAAGAAGGAAAAGGAAGAGAGAAGACUAAGAUGAUAGGAAAAGAUAGUGAUAUAAACAUUGGAGGGGAUAUGGGAAAAUUGGAAUACUAAUACAUUAUUUGUGGAGUUGUGAAGUGAUCCAACCAUUCUGGAGAGCUAUUUGGAAUUAUGUCCAAAGGGCUAUUAUAUUAUGCAUACUCUUUGAUCCAGUAGUGUCUCUGCUGGGCCUAAAUCCCAAAGAGGUCAUAAAAAUGGAAAAAGGAGCCACAUGUGCAAAAAUGUAGCAGCCCUUUUUCUAGAGGCAAGGAAUUGGAAACUGAGUAGAUGCCCAUCAGCUGGGGAAUGGCUGAAUAAGCUAUAGUAUAUGAAUGUUAUGGAAUAUGAUUGUUCUAUAAGAAAUGAUCAGCAGGAUGAUUUCAGAAAGGCUUGGAGGGCCUUAUAUGAACUGAUGCUAAGUGAAGUAUAGAACCAAAAGAAUAUUGUACCAAAAGAACACAAGAGGAUUAUGUGAUAAUUAAUUCUGAUGGAUUUGGCUCUUUGCAACAGUGAAGUGAUCCAGACUAAUUCCAAUAGACUUGUGAUGAAGAGAGUCACCUGCAUCCAGAAAGAAGACUGUCAUACUAACUGUGGACCACAACAUAUUUUUUCAUCUUUUUUUUUGUUGUUGUUGUUGUUUGCUUGCUUUUUGUUUUUUUCUAUUUUUUCCCCUUUUUGAUCUGAUUUUUCUUGUGUAGCAUCAUAAUGUGGAAAUAUAUAUAGAAGAACUGCAUAUGUUUAACCUAUACUGGAUUACUUGCUGUCUAGGGAAGGGGAGCUGGGAUGAAGGGAGAGAGAAAAAUUUGGAGCACAAGGUUUUGCAAGGUUGAAUGUUGAAAACUAUCUGUAUAUAUUUUGAAAAUAAAAGCUAUUAUUAAAAAAGAAAGAAAGAAGGGAAAGAGGUAGGAAAGGAAACAAGCAUUUAUUAAGCAUCUGCUAUGUUCCAGGUACUAUGCUAAACAAUUAUCUCAUUUGAUCCUUACAACAACCAUGUAAGGUAGGUAAGGUAUUAUUAUUAUCACUUUACAAUUGAGGAAACUGAGGCAGGCAGAGAAACUGAGUGAUUUGCUCAAGAUGCCAUAGCUAAUUAAGUGUCUGAGGUCAGAUAUGAAUUCCGGUGUUUCUGGCUCUAUCCCUGUGCCACUUAGCUUGACCAGGACAGAUCUGACAAAUACCCCCUGCAUAAUUUGGGCAAGUCACUCUUUACCUUCAUUUUUCUCAUCUGUAAAAUAAGCAAGUUGGACUAGAUGAAUUGUAAAUAAUUUCCGAAACUAUGACUCUGUUAUGCUUCAGAGGAGAUUCUUGUUCAAGUGAAGGUUGAAUUGUAUGCCCUUAUUGACUUCAGACAAUCUGUGAGAGACAAGAAUGGACUACUGAGGCUUCUUGGAAAAGAUUUGGGCAAGUGGCAUUGCAGAAGGAUAGCCAGAGGGAGAUGCUGUCAUUCUGUGAUUUUGGUUCAUGACGCACAAGUUCAUGAUUUAAUUUAUUUGUUAGCCUUUACAUGUGCUUGUACAGAUACCUUUGCUCUCCAGGGCUGGACUUAAACUUUGGCAGCAAAGGGAUUAAAGUGUAAAAUAGGACUAGGACCCCAUUUUUCUCAAGUUUUCUUACUUUGAUGCCAUAGGUUUAAACUUUAAUUAGAAGCAAUUCAUUACUUUGGAUUAAAUAUAUCCUCUUCAUUAUAGAGCUUUUUCAAAAAUUUAGCUAUGUGAGAUAUGAUCCAUGAAUCCCUUAGGCUCUUGACUGAAUUUUCAUGAGAAUAGGGGGCCUAUACCACUGGGUUUUUGCAAGGAGAAGGAGAUGUGGUUUUUUGUGUGUAUGUGUGUACAUUUAUACAUACAUGUAUAUGUAUAUAUAAAUAAUGAUAUAUAUAUAUAUGUUAUAUAUUUCUAUCUGUCUGUCUAUCUGUUUGAAAGCACACUGGCAUAAGAAACAGUACUACUGGCUCUGCUGCUUACUAGUAGGGUACCUUUAGGUCACAAGCUCCAGGCCUUACUUUCCCUAUCCAUAAAAUAAAAUUCUGGCACUGUUGAUUGUAUAGUCCUGUGACAAAUGGAUUUUUACUGUCUGUGAAGCUCUAGAGAAAGGCAAUCCAAGGACUCAAAAGACAGACUAUGUUGACAUUAGGCUUGCAAGGCUAGUGACUCCUGCUUUUUUUGUCCAGAGAUGUAUUGGUAAAUGUUUAACAACCAGGUAUCUGAGGAAAAUAUAGUUUUAUCUAUAUUAUUCACAAUUUUGUCCAAGAUUUUUUUGAGCUUAGACAAUUUUGUUGAUUGUAAAUCAAACUCUAAUUUGUUUGUUUGCCAAUUUCUGAGGUGUAAAUUUUACAAUGAGAAUUUUAAAAUGUGCUCUGGGGGGCCAUUUGAGCUGAUUCCAUCUCACCUUCAUACAUCCCAGUGUAGCAUUGUAGAACCAUCUAUGUAUUAACAAGCCAGUUGUGUCAAUAAGUAAUGGAAAGUGUCCAAGAAAGUGAAGAGAGAUUAGGGUCUGACUUAAAAUGGGAAUCUAACCUUCCCACUCCAUUCAUUAUACUGACAUAUAUUUUCUUGUAUUGUUUCAACUCUUAACUCUGUUCAUUUAUUUUUCCAGGUUAUAAGUCAUGAACAUUGUUCUACGAGAAAGAUAUGGAAUGUAAAAAAUAAAAUUGUGCAUGUGUUUGUCUGGUUUUUCUUCAAGCACACAGUGCUGAUUAUAAACAAAAUAAAG
ensembl:lncRNA